UUGGAAGUAGGGUUCAAUGUUGGAAGAAUAUUGGAAGAAUAAUGCAAGAAGGGUCUGUAGGGUUCAAAGGGUCCGUAGGGUUCAAUGAUAAUGCAUCCAUUUGUUUAAGUUCUUUGAUAGAUAACAGCUCAUCCUAGUGCUAUGUUAGCUGGUUGUUAUUCCUCCAGCUUUGUAAAGCUAAUUAAUAGUUUAAGUUAGAGAGAGUGGAAGGCACAAUGAUGCUUUGUUUAGCUGUCAGGAAGGUCAUAAUGAUGCUGCGAUUGCUGCCAUUAUUCUCUUCCUUUCCGCUCCACCCUCCUGCUUGUUUUUCUUUUCAUAUAUAUGCUGUCCUUGUAGCUGGUUCUUCCUUAUGAAAAUUACAUCAUAAAUUCAUCAUGGUAUCAGAGCGGGCAUCAUCCUGAGCCAGUUCUGUAUAUUGAAACUGCUGUGUUUAUUUUUUUUUUUUCAAAAACAAUGGCAGAUGGAAGUAUCAUUGCUUCUCCAUCUGUAAGCGCUUCUGAAAUGGAUAUCAAUCCAAACCAACGACUCAGUUCAGUAUUAUUGAAUGAGUUUAAUUAUUUGCCAUGGGCAAGGGCUGUUAGUCUUGCUCUCGGUGGAAGAUCCAAACUUGGUUUCAUCAAUGGCAGCCAACCUGCACCAAAUGCUUCUUCUCCAGAAUAUGGAGGGUGGCUAUGUAAAGAUCAACUGGUCAUGUCAUGGUUGUUAAAUUCUAUGGAAAGGAAUAUUGCUGAAAUCUUCAGCUAUUCCGAGUCAUCUCUCAUCCUUUGGACCACCGUGAAGGAGAUGUAUGGCAAUCAAAACAAUGCAGCUCGCAUCUUUCAACUCAAGAAGGAUAUCUCCAACAUACAGCAAGAAGGUAAAAGCUUUGUCCAACAUCUUGGUUCUUUGAGAAGCAUGUGGAAUGAGUUAGAUGUGUACAGACCUCACACAACUGAUCUCUCUGUGCUCCUUAAAAGAACUGAAGAAGAUAAAAUUUUUCAAUUAUUGUCUAGCUUGAGCUCAGAAUAUGAGGAUUUGAGAAGUCACAUUCUCAUGAACUCGGAGCUACCAUCCUUCACUAGUAUCUGUGCAACUAUCCAACGUGAGGAAGUAAGGAGAAAAGUCAUGAACAAUGGUAUAAAAACCAACGUGACAGAAGCUAGGGCUUACCUGACAAAUGAAAAAAGAUAUAAAGGGAAAAAUCCUCAUUUAAAGUGCCUACAUUGUGACAACAUCGGGCAUGUGAGAGACAAGUGCUGGAUCCUACAUCCAGAACUCAAACCUGACUUCAUGAAGGAUAAAUCCGCACCAAAGACAAGUCGAGCACACCCUCGUGCCAACACUGCAACAUCUUCAUCUAUCAACAAUGUUGAUACCUAUCAACAGUUCACUGCAAAUCCUGCCACCCUUUUAAAUGAGUUCGCAGCGUAUCUUCAACAAAAGAAAGGAAAAGAGGAUGGAUCGGUUGAUCAUAAAGAUGGAAGUACUACUGCAUUGAUGGGCAAAUUUGCAGGUUUUUUAGCUGAUGCCGAUUAUGUACCUCAGACAGACUUGAAAGGUAUCGUAACUGCUUUCCAAACUGCUCUUAAAAUAAAUGAGUUACAUGAUUUUUGGGUUGUAGAUUCUGGUGCCACAGACCAUAUGACUAAUCAAUUGUCAAAGUUACAUAGAUUUGAGAAACUACAUAAUCAUUCACAUGUAUCUGUUGCUAAUGGUGAAGGUGCUAGGAUUGUAGGAAAGGGAAAAAUCCACCUGAUAUCUGAUCAAAUAGAGUCUAUGGCCCUAUAUGUCCCAUCAUUUCCAUUUCAACUUCUCUCUCAGUGGGAAGAAUCACAAAUUCCUUAAAUUGUUUGGCCAUUUUUUUCACCAAAAACUGUCAUUUUUCAGGAUUGUAUAACCAAGAGGACGAUUGGUGAGGGGUUUUACCUUGAUGGUCUCUAUUACAUAUCAAAAAGCUCUUCCUGUGGAUUUCAUGCCAAGUCAAAGUCCAUCCAUACCUCCAUUCAAGCUUUCUCUUUGUGGCACCAACGUCUAGCUCAUCCAUCUCAACCUAUCUUAUCCACCUUAUUUCCUGACUUAGGCAAAGAAUCAACCCACUGUGAAACUUGCCAUUUGUCAAAGGCAACAAGACUACCUCUAGGGUCUUCGAUGUCUAGAGUUUCUCACUUUUUUGAGCUUGUACACUCUGAUAUAUGGGGACCAACAAGUGAAUCUUUUGAUGGUUAUAAAUAUUUCAUAACUUUUGUUGAUGAUUAUUCAAGAGCCACCUGGUUAUAUUUGUUAAAAUCAAAAAGUGAGGUGAUGGAAGUGUUUAAGGACUUUCACAAUCUUGUCAAAAAUCAUUUUUCUUCUCAAAUCAAAAACCCUAAGGUCUGAUAAUGGCACAGAAUACAUGUCCCAAGUCAUGACUCAAUAUUUUGAGCAACAAUGGCAUCAUACAUCAAACUAGCUGUGUUGGCACACCCCAACAAAAUGGUGUUGCCGAGAGAAAAAACCGAGAUCUCCUUGAAAAAACUAGGGCAUUGAUGUUACAAAUGAAUGUACCAAAACGUUUUUGGUCUCAAAGCGUCAUGACAGCAGCUUACCUGAUCAACAGGUUACCUAGUAGGGUUUUGGGGUUCAAAUCCCCAAUGGAGAUAAUCAAGAACAGAAAGGUGGACUUAUCUCACCUUAAAGUCUUUGGAUGCAUCUGUUUUGUUCAUGUUCAGUCAUUACAUCGAGACAAACUUGAUCCUAGGGCAACUAAAUGCAUUUUCCUUGGCUACUCGUCCACACAAAAAGGGUAUAAGUGUUAUUAUAAUCCACAACUUAAGAGAUUAAUUGUUUCAAGGGAUGUUCAAUUUCAUGAAACUAACUCUUAUUACAGUAAGUCUCUGGAUAGUACAAGUCAGGGGGAGAUUAUCUUGGACAGUUUUCCACUGCCAAGGACUGAGAUAUUCAACAAUGCGGGUGAUCAACCUCACACAAUGGAUCUUGUGGCUCCAAAUCAACCGAAUUCAUAUGACGACAGCAACAUGCCUGUAGAAGAUGAAACUCUACGUGGUAUUGAUCCUGAAGAACCUUCAGAAGAGUCUCCUCCUACCAUACCUCGACGAAAUCCAACUCGUGAGAGACACCCCACCAGCAAGACUGCAAGACUUUGUUACGUACAAGCUCAAGCACCCCUUAUCCAACUACUGUUCUUACCAAAGGUUGUCUCCUAAUUACACUGCCUAUUUGAGUAAUAUAUCUGCGCAUGAAGAGCCUCAAUCAUUUCAAGAAGCCAACCAAUCCCAAGUGUGGCAGCAAGCAAUGCAGGAUGAACUGCAUGCACUCGAUCAACAUAAAACCUGGAGCAUUGUGCCACUGCCCAAAGGAAAGAAGAUAGUAGGCUGCAGAUGGAUAUACAAGAUUAAAUUCAACUCGGAUGGGUCUAUUGAAAGACACAAGGCACGAUUAGUGGCCCGUGGCUUCACUCAAACAUUUGAUGUGGAUUACAAGGAAACCUUUGCUCCCGUUGCUAAGAUGAACACAGUGCGUGUACUCUUGUCUGUGGCUGUCAACAAAGGAUGGCCUAUGUAUCAAAUGGAUGUAAAAAACGCCUUCUUACAUGGUGAGCUUGAAGAAGACGUCUACAUGAGAAUUACCACCGGGUCACUCUCAAAGUCAUAAACAGGAUGUUGUGUGUAAACUACACAAAUCAAUUUAUGGUCUUAAACAAUCACCGAGAGCCUGGUAUGCUAAGCUCAGUUCUGUUCUUAUCAGUGUUGGUUUUGGAAGAAGCAAUGCGGACUCCUCUUUAUUUGUACGUUCAGGCACCGCUGGUACAUUAGUUGUUCUUGUGUAUGUUGAUGACUUGAUCAUCACCGGAGAUAACCCUGAAGAAAUCAAAGAACUCAAGCACUUCCUUCAGCAGCGCUUUGCAAUAAAAGAUCUUGGUGUUCUGAGAUACUUCCUUGGCAUCGAAAUGGCUACCUCUCACAAGGGCUUCUUCCUUAACCAGCGCAAAUAUGUUCUGGAUCUCCUUAAGGAAUCAAAUAUGAGUGAUGCUAAACCGGUUCCUACACCUCUCGACAUUAAACUUAAGGUCAGCUUAGAGGGUCAAUCUCUUCCAAACAUAAGUUAUUAUCAGCGGUUGGUUGGUAAGUUGAUAUACCUAACCAUCACAAGGCCCGACAUUACCUAUGCUGUCAGUAUUGUUAGCCAAUUUAUGCACUCUCCCACGAUGGAGCACUUUAACCUAGUCAAAAGGAUACUUCGGUAUCUAAAAGGUUCUGUGGGACGUGGUAUAAUCAUGAAGAAAAAUGCAAACACUCAGAUUACAGGUUAUUGUGAUGCAGAUUGGGCUGGCAAUUCCAUUGAUCGUAAGUCUACAACGGGAUUUUGCACGUUUGUGGGAGGCAACCUUGUCUCAUGGAAAAGCAAAAAACAAACUGUUGUUGCAAGAUCCAGUGCUGAGGCAGAAUAUCGGGCAAUGGCAUCUACCGCGUGUGAACUAAUCUGGCUCAAAGGUUUACUGUGUGACUUAGGUGUUUUCAAUCAUCAAUCCAUGUCCCUUUUCUGUGACAAUCAGGCUGCAAUGCACAUUGCUUCCAACCCAGUUUUUCACGAGAGAACCAAGCACAUUGAAGUCGAUUGUCACUAUGUUCGUACACAAGUUCAAUCUCAGGUUAUCCAAACGCAUUUUGUAAGGAGCUCGGAUCAACUUGCGGACCUAUUCACAAAAUCAUUGGCCUCUCAUCAGUUUCAACUUCUUCUUGGCAAGCUUGGAUCCAUCAAUCUUCUGGAUCCAGCUUGAGGGGGAGUAUUGGAAGUAGGGUUCAAUGUUGGAAGAAUAUUGGAAGAAUAAUGCAAGAAGGGUCUGUAGGGUUCAAAGGGUCCGUAGGGUUCAAUGAUAAUGCAUCCAUUUGUUUAAGUUCUUUGAUAGAUAACAGCUCAUCCUAGUGCUAUGUUAGCUGGUUGUUAUUCCUCCAGCUUUGUAAAGCUAAUUAAUAGUUUAAGUUAGAGAGAGUGGAAGGCACAAUGAUGCUUUGUUUAGCUGUCAGGAAGGUCAUAAUGAUGCUGCGAUUGCUGCCAUUAUUCUCUUCCUUUCCGCUCCACCCUCCUGCUUGUUUUUCUUUUCAUAUAUAUGCUGUCCUUGUAGCUGGUUCUUCCUUAUGAAAAUUACAUCAUAAAUUCAUCACU
rnacentral:lncRNA from 1 species